rnacentral:lncRNA from 1 species
GAAAUGGUGGUAGAUUUUAGGAGACAUGAUCUCGUCGAUCCCGUCUAAAACUGAAAUAGGGGACGGAUGCUGCGGCGGAGAGAGAAGAAGAAACGAUUUAUUUAAUGGACAUUAGAAGAAGCAAGGUCGCGCGGAGGGAGAGCGAUUUAUUGUAACGAACAUUAGAAGAAACAAGGUCGUGCGGAGGCGGAGCGAUUUACUAUUUUUCGUGGAGAAGAAGGAAGGUCGUGUGUAUUGGUUUGGUUUGAUUUAGAGGUUUAGAUAGUGAACGGUUCGCUUCGGUUCGGUUUGGUUCGGUUUGGUUCAGAGGUUCAGAGAGAAGUAGUUCAAUGAUUCGGUUCAGCUGUUUAGAGACAACAGUUCGGUUCGGUUCGGUUCAGAGGUUCAGGAGAGACAGUUCAAGACUAAAUUACCAGUCAUUCUGGAAAGUAAUAAACGGUUAGAAAUUCUAUGUUGAUCAAAAAGGAACAAUUCAUGGCAAAGAGAACUACUAACCUGAAACUCUAGCAAGAAGGAAACGUCCACAUCUUGUAAAUGUGAGCGUCGAUUUCUAGGGAUAAGACAAUAAGAUUAUUAUAUAAGAAAGAAAUAUUUGAUCUGAAUACCUAAAUUUCUUAUCGUUCAGAUUUUGGAAUAAUAACAUCAGAUGAUGGUUUCUAAUUGAGGCAAGGAUGGAUAUUAUAGGCAAAAUUGUAGCAGCGAGGAAGGUAGAAGAAUCGGCCAAGGUAGAGGAAUCGACAGACAGUACAUUUGAUGAGACACGAUCCAUCUGAAACGGUGGUAGAUUUUAUGAGACAUGAUCUCGUCGAUCCCGUCUAAAAUGGAAAUAGGGGACAGAUGCUGCGGCGGAGAGAGGAGAAGAAACGAUUUAUUGUAACGGACAUGAGAAGAAGUAAGGUCGCGCGAAGGGGGAGCGAUUUACUAUAACAGACAUGAGAAGAAGCAAGGUCGUGCGAAGGCGGAGCGAUUUACUGUUUUGCGUGGAGAAGAAGCAAGGUCGUGUGUAUUGGUUUGGUUUGAUUUAGAGGUUUAGAUAGUGAACGGUUCGCUUCGGUUCGGUUUGGUUCGGUUUGGUUCAGAGGUUCAGAGAGAGGUAGUUCAAUAGUUCGGUUCAGAUGUUUAGAGACAACAGUUCGGUUCGUUUCGGUUCAGAGGUUCAGAGAGAGACAGUUCAAGACUAAAUUACAAAUCAUUCUAGAAAAUAAUAAACGGUUAGAAAUUCUAUGUUGAUCAAAAAGGAACAAUUCAUGGCAAAAAGAACUACUAACCUGAAACCCUAGCAAGAAGGAAACGUUUAGAUCUUGUAAAUGUGAGCAUCGAUUUCUAGGGAUAAGAUAAUAAGAUUAUUAUAUAAGAAAGAAAGAUUUGAUCUUAAUAUCUAAAUUUCUUAUCGUUCAGAUUUUGGAAUAAUAACAUCAGAUGAUGGUUUCGAUCUGAAGCAAGGAUGGAUUUUAUAGGCAAAAUUGUAGCAGCGAGGAAGGUAGAAGAAUCGGCCAUGGUAGAGGAAUCGACAGACGGUAGAUUUGAUGAGACACGAUCCAUCUGAAACGGUGGUAGAUUUUAUGAGACACGAUCUCGUCGAUCCCAUCUAAAACGAAAAUAGGGGACGGAUGCUGCGGCAAAGAGAGGAGAAGAAACGAUUUAUUGUAACGGACACGAGAAGAAGCAAGGUCGCGCAGAGGGGGAGCGAUUUACUGUAACAGACAUGAGAAGAAGCAAGGUCGUGCGGAGGCAGAGGGAUUUACUAUUUUUCUUGGAGAAUAAGCAAGGUCGCGUGUAUUGGUUCAGUUUGAUUUAGAGGUUUAGAUAGUGAACGAUUCGCAUCAGUUCAGUUUGGUCCUGUUCGGUUUAGAGGUUCAGAGAGAGGUAGUUCAAUGGUUCGGUUCAGAUGUUUAGAGACAAUGGUUCUAUAGGAAAAAUAGGCAAAAAUGUAGCAGCGAUGAGGGUAGAAGAAUCGGCCAGGGUAGAGGAAUCGGCGGACGGUAGAUUUGAUGAGACACGAUCCAUCUGAAACGGUGGUAGAUUUUAUGAGACACGAUCUCGUCGAUCCCAUCUGAAAUAGAAAUAGGGGACGGAUGCUGCGGCGGAGAGAGGAGAAGAAACGAUUUAUUGUAACGGACAUGAGAAGAAGCAAGGUCGCGCGGAGGGGAAGAGAUUUAUUGUAACGGACAUGAGAAGAAGCAAGGUCGUGCGGAGGCAGAGCGAUUUACUGUUUGGCGUGGAGAAGAAGCAAGGUCGUGUGCAUCGGUUUGGUUUGAUUUAGAGGUUUAGAUAGUGAACGGUUCGCAUCGGUUCGGUUUGGUUCGGUUUGGUUCAGAGGUUCAGAGAGAGGUAAUUCAAUGGUUCGGUUCAGAUGUUUAGAGACAACAGUUCGGUUCGGUUCGGUUCGGUUCGGUUCGGUUCGGUUCAGAGGUUCAGAGAUAGGCAGUUCAAGACUAAAUUACCAAUCAUUCUAGAAAAUAAUAAACGGUUGGAAAUUCUAUAUUGAUCAAAAAGGAACAAUUCAUGGCAAAGAGAACUACUAACCUGAAACCCUUGCAAGAAGGAAACGUCCAGAUCUUGUAAAGGUGGGCGUUGAUUUCAAGGGAUAAGACAAUAAGAUUAUUAUAUAAGAAAGAAAGAUUUGAUCUGAAUACCUAAAUUUCUUAUCGUUCAGAUUUUGGAUUAAUAACAUUAGAUGAUGGUUUCAAUCUAAGGCAAGGAUGGAUUUUAUAGGCAAAAUUGUAGCAGCGAGGAAGGUAGAAGAAUCGGCCAGGGUAGAGGAAUCGGCAGACGGUAGAUUUGAUGAGACACGAUCCAUCUGAAACGGUGGUAGAUUUUAUGAGACACGAUCUCGUCGAUCCCGUCUAAAACGGAAAUAGAGGACGGAUGCUGCGGCGGAGAGAGGAGAAGAAAUGAUUUAUUGUAACGGACGGGAGAAGAAGCAAGGUCGCGCAGAGAGGGAGCAAUUUACUGUAACAGACAUGAGAAGAAGGUCGUGCGGAGGUGGAACGAUUUGCUAUUUUUCGUGGAGAAUAAGCAAGGUCGCGUGUAUUGGUUCAGUUUGAUUUAGAGGUUUAGAUAGUGAACGGUUCGCAUCGGUUCAGUUUGGUCCUGUUCGGUUUAGAGGUUCAGAGAGAGGCAGUUCAAUGGUUCGGUUCAGAUGUUUAGAGACAACGGUUCUAUAGGCAAAAUAGGCAAAAAUGUAGCCGCGAGGAUGGUAGAAGAAUCGGCCAGAGUAUAGGAAUUGGCGGACGGUAGAUUUGAUGAGACACGAUCUAUCUUAAACGGUGGUAGAUUUUAUGAGACACGAUCUCGUCGAUCCCGUCUGAAACUGAAAUAGGGGACGGAUGCUGCGGCGAAGAGAGAAGAAGAAACGAUUUAUUGUAACGGACAUGAGAAGAAGCAAGGUCGCGCGGAGGGGGAGCGAUUUAUUGUAACGGACAUGAGAAGAAGCAAUGUCGUGCAGAGGCCGAGCGAUUUACUGUUUGGCGUGGAGAAGAAGCAAGGUCGUGUGUAUUGGUUUAGUUUGAUUUAGAGGUUUAGAUAGUGAACGGUUCGCUUCGGUUCGGUUUGGUUCGGUUUGGUCCAGAGGUUCUGUCACGCCCUGCCCCGGAGCCACUACCAAUUUGACACGAUUCGGGCGCGGAGGGCGGACCGCCGAACAGACAGCACCUCCCCUAUCCGCCCAAGGCUCAACAACAGAAAUGUGUACAAGAAUUUAUCCAGGAAUUCAAAUUCUAAACAUACACAUUCAACGGGGCACAAACAGUGCCAACAACCAAGAGUAAGUAAUCCACGAGAUAUACAAGUGAAAUAAAGAGAGUACUUUACUAACUAUUACAAUAGUUUGAAUUCUUUUUCAUGUACAUCUUUUCCCCAAAAUGAAUACAUUUGUUCAUCAAUAUACAUAGCUCUCUAACCUCACCUACAUAAAUUUCUCUCUCAAUACAUAGGUGUGCUAAUGCAAAAAGGAAAGCUACUAUACUACCACGGUCUCAUUGGUCGGGCGCGAUGCCUUUGCCGCGGUCCUCGCUCGGUAAACCUGUUCCUACCACUGGAAAUAGAGUGGGGUGAGAACUAUCUUCCAUAGUUUUCAGUGGGCUCGGCCGCCGACUCCGCGGAUCUCCCCACUAGGUCCAAGUGGGCACAAGUAACAACAAAUAGAUAGAUAGAUAGAUAUCUCAAAGCUGUAAAGGCAUAAAGGAAAACUAUGCUACUAUGCCCAUAAUCAUGUAUAAUGAAUGCAUGCAUUAUAUAGUAAAGGUUUACUAACAUGCUAACAAUUUCGAUCCAUGUUCGAAUGAUAAUGUUCCAUGACAUUGUUAAUUAUUCAUUUACCCAAUCCGUAGCAAAACCCUUGGACUAGCCUACAACUCACCUUUCCAUCCCGUAUUCGGCAAGGGAGCUCCAUGUGCCCCCAAACCCGGGACUGUCUGCGGACCUCCAUGUGGUCCUAAUCGCCCGACACUCUGGAGUACUCGACGACAAUCCUCUCCAUGUGAGGAUAUGGAUGGCUAUACCACCCCAAAACAGACCGUGAGCUCGAUCUAUCCCCUCUAUGUGGGAAUACCCUACCGCUAGGGUCAACAUAUCUCUCGGAAUCAUCUACAUCCUCUCCAUGUGAGGAUAUUUAGUUUUACUAAGUUCUUUGUCCACAAGGCAUUUUCUAGGGAGUCCACUUAUCCCUAAGUUCACAAGAACCUUUAGUGUCAAAUACACUACUUUAAUGCCACUCGAUAUGAUCUCUAACAUUUAGAUGUCAUUUUCUAUGUCACUAAACACCCAUCGUGUCCAUCUCUUCCCUUUAGCACUAUAGGAUCCAUGUUUCGACCCAAUCCUCACCUAUCCAAGUCACCAAGCGUUCCAUGUACACUAGGUUUACAUUUAGAAGCAUAAGGAAAAUAUACUACAAUGCAAUCCUACAAUGCAACAUGCAAGAGAUGCAAAUCAUGUAUUUCUAAGACAUAGAAAAGAGUUCGGUUGCUUCGGGAUGACACCCCCCCACCUUUUCUCGUUGUAGAGGCUCUAGAAAUGCCUCUCGCCGAACGUUACGACGAGGUCUCGGCUUCUUUGGUCCAAAACAAUGCUCAAUCGGCCUUAUUUUGCCGAUAGCUUUUCACCGGCUCAACGAAUGCUCAAUCCGUCUUCGCCCCGCAUUUAGACACCUAUCAAUUAGAUUUACAAGGCCUCAAAUGAGAUCAAUCUCAUCCUUCACCAAAAACGCUACUUGGGUGCCCUAGGGUUCACAUCUUGCCAUUUGCAAUUUGGAACCCUAGCCUCUAGCUCUAAUCCACCAACAAUGGUGCAAGAGGUCCAUUUGACCCCAUUUCAAAAGCUCAAAACCCAAAACCCUAAGUUCUACAAGCUAGGGUUUGUAGCUUACCUCUUGAGCUACACCAAUGGAGAGAGGAGGAAGAGAGGAAGAUGCUCCAAGCCUUCUCUAGCUUGAUCUCUUUCUUCUCCUUCUUCUUCUCCUUCCUUUCUUUCUUCUUCUCCUUCUCUUUUCUUUCUGAAGAGAGAGAGUGUGUGUGAGGGGAAUGUGUGAGAGUGAGAGAGAGAGAGAGAGAGAGAGCUCUCUUCCCUCUUAUCACCCUCCAACUAAUGCCAUUUUGCAUAAAAACCCCUCAACUUUUGUCUCUGUGCACUGCCCUUACUGGGCUGUCUGCGCGCCGAGGGACCGGUCUCCUCGACCUGGGACCGGUCCCCGAGAGCUUCCCAUAUGUGCCGGGCGGGCUUCCGCUGGGUCCCGGGGCGUGACAGAUAAGAAGCAAGGUCGCAUAUAUUGGUUUGAUUUGAUUUAGAGGUAUAGAUAGUGAACGGUUCGCUUCGGCUCGGUUUGGUUCGGUUUGGUUCACAGGUUCAGAGAGAGGUAGUUCAAUGGUUCGGUUCAGAUGUUUAGAGACAACAGUUCGGUUCGGUUCGGUUCAGAGAUUUAGAGAGAGGCAGUUCAAUGGUUCGGUUCAGAUGUUUAGAGACACAAUGAGCGGUUCAGUUCAAGUGCCAGAUAAGCAGUCCAAUUUAGAAUGCAUUCGGUUCGGUUUUCAUACAAAAAAUUAGGGAGGCAAAUCAUUGGUU